AGAGUGUUAAGCAGUCUCCAUGCUCAACACAGAGCCCAAUACAGAGCACAGUCUCACACCCCUAUGAUCAUGACCUUGGCCAAAAUCAGGAAGAGAAGAAAGAAAGGAAGAGACACCUCUGAUCACAGUGCUCUCUCCAACUUUGUACAUACAUGAUGAGGGAAGUCAUCACUCUCAUUGUGCUGGUAGGAACCUGGAGCUCUGGAGAAAUAUAAGGACUUUGAAGAUCAGACAGAGAAAAUCAUUUGUCCUUGAACACGCAACUUGGUAAAUGCUUGAAGUCCUAGAAGACAGCUCCAUCUACCACAAAAUAUCAAAUUUAUUUCUUUACACCCCACCACUGAAGGGCAAUUUAAAGAACACUUUGGCUUGUAUCUUCUUAUGUAAAGGAAUAAGGAAAAUGGGCCCAUGCUUGAUUAUCACAGGAGACAGAAAGCUGCAUAUUUUGCUGCCACUGGCUGACUGCUCUUAAAAGGAAUUCAGACUGGAGGCCUGGUCCAGGAAGAACGCUGUCAGCAGAGAUCGCUAGGGAGCAGGACUGCUUGUGCUAUGCAGUGAGAAAUUUGAUCAAGAAGGGUUUCCAAGGACCAUUUCACAGAAUCUUAUAGGCCCUUCCAAGGACUGUUUCCUGGUGUAAAGCACAUUACCUGGACCAUCAGGU